GACGAACGCUGGCGGCGUGCUUAACACAUGCGAGUCGAACGGAAAGGCCCUGCUUUUGUGGGGUGCUCGAGUGGCGAACGGGUGAGUAACACGUGAGUAACCUGCCCUUGACUUUGGGAUAACUUCAGGAAACUGGGGCUAAUACCGGAUAGGAGCUCCUGCUGCAUGGUGGGGGUUGGAAAGUUUCGGCGGUUGGGGAUGGACUCGCGGCUUAUCAGCUUGUUGGUGGGGUAGUGGCUUACCAAGGCUUUGACGGGUAGCCGGCCUGAGAGGGUGACCGGCCACAUUGGGACUGAGGUACGGCCCAGACACCAACGGGGGGCAGCGGUGGGAGAUAUUGCACAAUGGGCGGAAGCCUGACGCAGCAGCGCCGCGUGCGGGAUGACGGCCUUCGGGUUGUAAACCGCUUUCGCCUGUGACGAAGCGUUAGUGACGGUAAUGGGUCAAGAAGCACCGGCUAACUACGUG
rnacentral:rRNA from 1 species